rnacentral:lncRNA from 1 species
GUAAAAAGUCUAAUUUGGCUUUAAAAUUAGAAAGAUCAUAUCAUAAGCAACAAGCGUACUAAGUUUCAAGUUGAUUGGACUUAAGCUUCAUCAAAAACUACCUUGACCAAAAACUUUAACCUGAACGGACGGACGCACGAACGGAGCCACAGACCAGAAAACAUAAUGCCCCUCUACUAUCGUAAGUGGGGCAUAAUAUUAUUGCAGGUAACCGCACUUAUGAGAUUUGUUCUUGAUAUAAUUACAGCUAUCAUACUUCGGGGGACUUCAUUGGAAAACGAUUUUGACGAUUGGUGUUUUUCUUUUCGUCUUCUUUUUAUUUUACCAUUGUUUUGACUUUUUCUCCGACAUGUAGUCUUUUACGUACCCAUGAUAACUUCUUUCUUCGUUUUUUUUUGUGGUUUUUUAGUCGUUAGGAUGCUGUAGCAUUAGCCCAUAUGUUCUUUUAUUUAUUCGGUCAUGCUUAUAAUUAUAAUUCUGUUUCUGUUUUUGAAAUCUUUUAUCAGAAGAUAUUAACAUACAUUGAUUAGUUCGAGUAAUUACAAACUUAAAGGCUGGUUAUCAUAUUAGAAGAGAAAUAGUUACUGUACUUCGCAUGUCCAGCGGCAAACUCAUGCAGAUGAUGCAUACUUUUGACAGUGUAAUUAUGAUAAUUACAUAUAGAACCAUGUGCGAAUGGAAUGGGAAAGUUACAUUGGAUUCUCGUAUAGGAAAACUGACGUUAUUUUUAAUAGAAUAGGAUGUGAUAAUAUAGGCAAUAAUACAACUAGAGACCAAAUCACAUAGAUGUA